UGGGGAAUUUUGGACAAUGGGCGCAAGCCUGAUCCAGCCAUGCCGCGUGCGGGAAGAAGGCCUUCGGGUUGUAAACCGCUUUUGUCAGGGAAGAAAUCUUCUGAGUUAAUACCUCGGGAGGAUGACGGUACCUGAAGAAUAAGCACCGGCUAACUACGUGCCAGCAGCCGCGGUAAUACGUAGGGUGCAAGCGUUAAUCGGAAUACUGGGCGUAAAGCGUGCGCAGGCGGUUUUGUAAGACAGAGGUGAAAUCCCCGGGCUCAACCUGGGAACUGCCUUUGUGACUGCAAGGCUUGAGUGCGGCAGAGGGGGAUGGAAUUCCGCGUGUAGCAGUGAAAUGCGUAGAUAUGCGGAGGAACACCGAUGGCGAAGGCAAUCCCCUGGGCCUGCACUGACGCUCAUGCACGAAAGCGUGGGGAGCAAACAGGAUUAGAUCCCUGGUAGUCCACGCCCUAAAACGAUGUCAACUGGUUGUUGGGAAGGUUCCUUCUCAGUAACGUAGCUAACGC
rnacentral:rRNA from 1 species